UUUGCCCCUUGAGGCGUUGCAGUGCAACUGAUUGUGUUGUUUCUGUGUCAUAAGGUGGCAUAGAUUAAAGGGCAAUGUCUAUGCCUAGUACUCCCUUAAUAAUGAGUGCUCUGUGUCAUUUUUAGUCCUACAAA